GGUCCACCAUCUCAUGAUUUUUCAUAUUCCGACCUCCUUCCCGCAGAAUGAGAAAACUCAUGAGUAGCAUGGAUCCAUGCAAUGAUUCUCUCGCAGACGCCAUGUGCACAGAGAUCAUUGGCGAUCAUAGCCUGCUGAAGAUGAUCCAAGUGCCGAUGCCGCCUUACUUUAUCCAGUUCGUUUUUUUCAAUCGAGGACUGCUGGUCCCUUGGUCCUAUGAGUUCCUAAACUGUUGUAGUUUCUGGGAUUGAUCAACUGUGCAGUUUGUGGGUGUGUGGAUGGUAUUCAGAAACGCUCGAUGUUGUAUACAUGGAAUGAUUUGUCGGUGUAUGUAUCUAUUGAAAGGGAAGCAGUGUUGUAAAUUAGGAUCUCUGAUGGUGCACAUC
rnacentral:lncRNA from 1 species